UUUUUUUUUUUUUUUUCCUAAAUCCUGAAUUGUGUUGACAUUGUAGAAUGCAUUAGUGUGUGUGUGUGUACUUGACUCACAGUCUGAAAACAAUGGUGCUAAGUUUGGACUAUGCCUGAUCUUAUUUAUUCUGUAAUGAAAACAUCAAAAACAAGUCGAGUACUUGGUGCUGUACACAGGGACAUUUGUAAAGCCGUUUUUUGGCAUUUCCUUUCUCAUAUUUAAUAUGCUAUUGUCUCGUUCUUUCAAUGCAUCUUGUACAACUGUAGACGCCACCUUUGGAUGAAAGUGCUCUCGUGCAGCCGGCUCGGGGUCCGAGCGACGGCCACGGGGGCCCCUGUUAAUGUUUUAAACAUACAUCGGCCCGCUGUUGGUGAACAAGACACACUGUUUUUGUACAUAAGUUUUCUUUAAUUGUACAUCUCUGUCAUAAACAGAAAAGUAUAUAAAAUAAGUAACUAUAUACAGUCUAUAUAAAUAUAUAUAAGUAUAUAAAUAUAUAUACAUAUAUAUGUGAAAGGGGUGAUUUGGUGCUGGCAUUGUGACCCUUAAAUUCACCCUGUAACAGGAGGCUUGAAGCAGAGCAAAGCAUUGCCACCAGAGGACCUUAACAUGGCUGCACAUCAGCACCUGAAAACAAACACACACACACACACACCCCGCAGCCACAAACUCAGAGGCUGUGUGUUUAUUACACAAAGGUGCGGCGGCUCGAACGCCACCAGAUUCCAGUACUAGAACUGUUAUCACUUUUUUCAGGUAUUUUCACUUCUUUGAUUUGUUGUUGUUGUUUUUUGGUUUGUUUUUGGUGUUGAAUUUUUUUUUACCAACCCAGAUUCUGCAGGAAAAAUGGUGCUUCUGUUUCCAAGCGAGGGCAGUUCAGACUUUACAAUCGAAAUCUUCACUGGUGCAUACAGAACUGCGCAUCAGCCUCUUUACACACACCGCCUGUAGACGUCUUACUGACGAGGCCGUACCUCGCCGCGUGAGCUGAUGUGAAACACUUGUCUUAGUGUGUGUGUGUGUGUGUGUGUGAGAUCAGACAGGCUUCCUUUUUUUCUCUGAUAGUGGGAUUACACUAAAGCUCAGUUUGUACGUGUGUGUUUUUGUGUUUGUUUUUUUAAUUUUUCACUUGCCAGCGCAUAUCUAAGGGAAUAUUAGUGUAAUAAUCAAAGCUUUAUAGAAAAAUAAAACCGUGUCCCGUGCACUUGUGUGCAAGUGAAGAGAAAAAGUCAUUUUAGAAUUAGACUAGUCCAUUUGUUACCAGCACUGAGAGGUGUUUUGUAAUUAUUGUUGAUGGCAUUUUGAUUUUCUUAUUCUUGGUGUUUGAUACGAUUGCAGUCACAUGUUAUGCUUUUGAUUGUGUCUUCAGAUUUGUCAGUUUUUAAUACUACUAGUCAGACAGCACGGUGCUCUCCUUCACUUAAAACAAGGAAAAUCGCAGCUAUUGAUGAAUACUACUCCUCCUGUUGUGCUGCAGGGUUUUAUGGUUUAAGAAUCUUACACACAAGCUCACCUGGUGGCUUUUCUCACAGCCCAGUCUAACCUUUCAAUCUUUAAUCUGGAGGGACACCGGCGGGCGGAGGGGGGUGUACGUGCCUGUCAGAGCACUUUGAGGAAGGUGGCAGGGAUUCCAUUCAUUACAUACAGAUUUUAAGCAGUUUUAUAGUUUUUAAAUGUAUUUCUGGGGUGUGAUUUGGCUUUAAAGCUGUGCAGUUCUGCAUGAUACUGCAUCCUGGUACAUUAUUCGAACUCCCCACACUGCUUGAAAGAACAAGUUUCGUAAUCUGCUGCAUCUUAUGUUAAUUUACCUUCAGGUGGCAUGACAAAGUCCCUCUACGACCCAACUCAGGACCAGGGCCACCAUUCAGUCAGUGUAUUUCAAGGUAAAAAUGUAUCAGCUGCCCUCAUCAGAUCUCCUCAGAUGCAGUCCUGCUGGCACGUACACCCCAACCCCCGACAAUCAGUCCGAGCUUUAUGAGCGAUCUGAUCUCGAGAAGCUGUGAAAUGGCUACAACUUUCAGCAUCUUCCUCAUCUCACAAAUGCCUCUGUCUAGAUUUGCGUCUCUAAGGAGGAGGUUCGGUGUCUUGUUUGAAUCCCUCGUUGAAUUGGGGGUAACCUUCAAGGACACGCGUGACCUACAGGAUGUGUAUAGUGCUCUCUGAUUGGUGAAGCCAGGGCAGGUUUGAGGUGCAAUAAUGGCAAACCUACUUUCCAAAAGGCCCUCGGUUUUUCAUGGAAACAUUGUUACUGUUUGAUGUUGGUGCUUUUAUCCUAAGAUGUUAUGAUGAAAAAAUGGAAUUAAUGUUUUUUUUUCUCCCCUGCAAUUUAUGAUUAUUAAUAAAUUGUUUCUUAUAAUAUUGA
ensembl:lncRNA